GACGAACGCUGGCGGCGUGCUUAACACAUGCAAGUCGAGCGGUAAGGCCCUUUCGGGGGUACACGAGCGGCGAACGGGUGAGUAACACGUGGGUGACCUGCCCUCAGCUCUGGGAUAAGCCUGGGAAACCGGGUCUAAUACCGGAUAUGACUCCAUGACGCAUGUUGUGGGGUGGAAAGCCUUGUGCGGCUGAGGAUGGGCCCGCGGCCUAUCAGCUUGUUGGUGGGGUGAUGGCCUACCAAGGCGACGACGGGUAGCCGGCCUGAGAGGGCGACCGGCCACACUGGGACUGAGACACGGCCCAGACUCCCACGGGAGGCAGCAGUGGGGAAUAUUGGACAAUGGGCGCAAGCCUGAUCCAGCGAUGCCGCGUGUGUGAAGAAGGCCUGCGGGUU
rnacentral:rRNA from 1 species